rnacentral:tRNA from 1 species
GAGGUUGUGGCUCAGUGGUACAGCACUCCCCUACCAUGGAUGAGGCACUGGGUUUGAUCCUCAACCCCA